rnacentral:rRNA from 1 species
GACGAACGCUGGCGGCGUGCUUAACACAUGCAAGUCGAACGGAAAGGCCCUGCUUUUGUGGGGUGCUCGAGUGGCGAACGGGUGAGUAACACGUGAGUAACCUGCCCUUGACUUUGGGAUAACUUCAGGAAACUGGGGCUAAUACCGGAUAGGAGCUCCUGCUGCAUGGUGGGGGGUGGAAAGUCUCGGCGGUUGGGGAUGGACGGGCGGCUUAUCAGCUUGUUGGUGGGGUAGUGGCUUACCAAGGCUGUGACGGGUAGCCGGCCUGGGAGGGUGACCGGCCACAUUGGUACUGAGGGACGGACCAGAGUGCUACGGGAGGCAGCAGUGGGGAAUCUUGCCCAGUGGGCGCAAGCCUGAUGCAGAAGCGUCGCGUGCGGGAUGCCGGCCUUCGGGUUGUAAACCGCAUUAGCUUGUGACGCAGCUGGAGUGACGGUACUGGGUAAAGAAGCACCGGCUAACUACGUG